rnacentral:misc_RNA from 1 species
AUAGAAAUGAUGCUAUAAUGAAUAAUUAGUAUAGGAAAGCAUAGCACAAUGAAAAUAUACAAAUAUCGUUAAUGAAUAUAUAGACAAAGAUACACAUACAGCAGAAGAGAUAUCUUAACAAGGAAAAAGAAACAAUGUUUUAUAACUAGGAAAAAAAAAAUUAUAGCCAUAUAAAUAAAAUUCCCCAGCUAUGGUUUUCAAAGUUUAAGAAGUGUGAUAAUUAAGGUAAAUUUCACCCAUCAUCCCUGAACUUAUACUCUCACAACGAUGUUGCCCUCCAACUUCAAUUUGUCUCAUAAAACUCUUCCAAUUUCAAUUCAGUGAACAUAAAAGUCAUUUUUACCGGAUUCUGAAUAUACCUCACAUGAGCAGCUUAUAUGGCACGCCCAGCUGGCACCAACCCAUUAAAAAAACUGAAACUGACAUGUUAAAAUUCUGUUUCUCUCUCUUCCCUCUUCACUCUCUCUGCCUUUUCCCCCUUCCUCUCUCUCCAUAUCUAUCUCAACCCCCUCUAUCUCUCUCCUUUUGCUCAAUCUCCCUCUUUGAUCUAAGCAUGAAAGAGAGAACACUGCAACAGAACAAGAGAAAUAGAUAAGCUGCCAUGGAAUACAGAACCACAACCUCUACUCCCAUUGAUUUGUGGCUCUCACCUCGAUCCACAACUAUGUUGACAUGCUAGCUGAUGCCAAGAAGACCUAAGAGCUUAAGUCCAACUGGUCUAAAUGCUACUCCUGCCUUGAAGCAGCACACUUAGAAUUAAACCAAAUGCAAGAUACCAUUGCAGCGUAUAAGAAGGGGCUUGAGAUUGAUCCCAUAAAAAAAUAAAAAUAAAAAGAAAAGAAGUGGAAAAUGUAAAACAGAAUUGGAACAAAGAAAACAAACUAGACUCCAGUAUAGAAAACUUGAACACAGUAUAAAGCAUGAACGUUCCGCUGCAAUCAAAGAUUGCAUAUCAAGAUGACAGCAAAAUCUUCCAAACCAACUCUACCUUGUCUCCAAAGUCAACUUGCCAACCAUUCUAACUAGAAAAUGAAAAGAACCCAACGCUCAAGAAAAGUUCUAAACUAGAGAGAAGUUAGCAAAUACUAAAUAUCUUUUUUGGAGGCUGUCAAAGGGCUUUUAUUCUCAAUUUAUAGUCAUUCUUUCUGGUUUAAUGAAGCCACUAAAUUGUUGGUCUUGGUCUAUAAUGCUCCUGAUAUUUCUGAAGUUCAGUUUAUUCUUGCACAUGCUAUUAUGGCUGCCACCCCUAUGUCUAUUGCUGAUCUGGGUUUCUUAAAUGGUAUUGAUCUUUCCUAAUUUCCAAUUUAAAAGAACAAGAAUAAGGACAAAUAGAAAUCUGUAGAUAUAUGUUUUUGCUUUCACAGUUUUGUUCUUUUGUUUUCAGUUUAAAAAAAUAUAUAAUGAAACAAUUCCUUAGUUUAAUAAAGAUUAAUCUACACAACUUUAGAAAUUGUAAAGGUCUACGGAUAUGUUGAGAUGUAAUACUAAACCCUUGUGUGGAAAAAAAA